UACGAGGGGGGCGAGCGUUGUUCGGAAUUAUUGGGCGUAAAGGGUGCGUAGGUGGCGCCGUAAGUCAGGUGUGAAAUUUCGGAGCUUAACUCCGAAACUGCAUUUGAUACUGCGGUGCUUGAGGACUGGAGAGGAGACUGGAAUUCACGGUGUAGCAGUGAAAUGCGUAGAUAUCGUGAGGAAGACCAGUGGCGAAGGCGGGUCUCUGGACAGUUCCUGACACUGAGGCACGAAGGCCAGGGGAGCAAACGGG
rnacentral:rRNA from 1 species